AGAGUGAACGCUGGCGGCAGGCCUAACACAUGCAAGUCGAACGGCAGCACGAGAGAGCUUGCUCUCUUGGUGGCGAGUGGCGGACGGGUGAGGAAUACGUCGGAAUCUGCCUUUUUGUGGGGGAUAACGUAGGGAAACUUACGCUAAUACCGCAUACGACCUACGGGUGAAAGCGGAGGACCUUCGGGCUUCGCGCAGAAAGAUGAGCCGACGUCGGAUUAGCUAGUUGGAGGGGUAAUGGCCCACCAAGGCGACGAUCCGUAGCUGGUCUGAGAGGAUGAUCAGCCACACUGGGACUGAGACACGGCCCAGACUCCUACGGGAGCAGCAGUGGGAAUAUUGGACAAUGGGCGCAAGCCUGAUCCAGCCAUGCCGCGUGUGUGAAAGAAGGCCUUGGUUGUAAAGCACUUUUUGUAACGGAAGAAAAGCAAUACGGUUAAUACCCGGUUGUCAUGAACGGUACCGUAAAGAAUAAGCACCGGCUAACCUCGUGCCAGCAGCCGACG
rnacentral:rRNA from 1 species